UACAGAGGUCUCAAGCGUUGUUCGGAUUCAUUGGGCGUAAAGGGUGCGUAGGCGGUCGGGUAAGUCGGAUGUGAAAUCCUGGGGCUCAACCUCAGAACUGCAUUCGAUACUGCCUGGCUAGAGGGCUGGAGAGGAGAUCGGAAUUCACGGUGUAGCAGUGAAAUGCGUAGAUAUCGUGAGGAAGACCAGUGGCGAAGGCGGAUCUCUGGACAGUUCCUGACGCUGAUGCACGAAGGCCAGGGGAGCAAACGGG
rnacentral:rRNA from 1 species